GACGAACGCUGGCGGCGUGCUUAACACAUGCAAGUCGAACGGAAAGGCCCUGCUUGCAGGGUACUCGAGUGGCGAACGGGUGAGUAACACGUGGGUGAUCUGCCCUGCACUUCGGGAUAAGCCUGGGAAACUGGGUCUAAUACCGGAUAGGAGCCAUUUUUAGUGUGAUGGUUGGAAAGUUUUUUCGGUGUAGGAUGAGCUCGCGGCCUAUCAGCUUGUUGGUGGGGUAAUGGCCUACCAAGGCGGCGACGGGUAGCCGGCCUGGGAGGGUGGACGGCCACAUUGGGCCUGGGUUCCGGCCCAGACUCCUCCGGGGGGCGGCAGUGGGAAUAUUGCACAAUGGGCGCAAGCCUGAUGCAGCGACGCCGCGUGGGGGAUGACGGCCUUCGGGUUGUAAACUCCUUUCGCUAGGGACGAAGCUUUUUGUGACGGUACCUAGAUAAGAAGCACCGGCUAACUACGUG
rnacentral:rRNA from 1 species